rnacentral:rRNA from 1 species
UACGGAGGGUGCAAGCGUUAUCCGGAAUCACUGGGCGUAAAGGGCGCGCAGGCUGUUAUGCGAGUCUGCUGUGAAAUGUACCGGCUCAACCGGUGCCUUGCGGCGGAUACUGCAUAGCUGGAGUACUGGAGAGGGAAGUGGAAUUCCCGGUGUAGCGGUGAAAUGCGUAGAUACUGGUAGGAACACCCAUUGCGAAGGCAGCUCGCUGGACAACACGUGACACUGAGGCGCGAAAGUGUGGGGAGCAAACCGGA